rnacentral:rRNA from 1 species
UCUAAGCCUGUGGCGGGGGGCCGGGUAUGACAGAGGGUGGUAGUGGUGUGCGGAAGUACGUGGCGUAAAGGGCGGGCAGGCGGUUCUGUAAGUCUGAUGGGAAAGCCCGGGGCUCAACCUCGGAAGUGCACCGGAUACUGCGGAACUGGGGUCUUGAAGAGGAGAGCGGAAUUCCCGGUGUAGAGGUGAAAUUCGUAGAUAUCGGGAGGAACACCAGUGGCGAAAGCGGCUCUCUGGGCAAUGACCGACGCUGAGGCGCGAAGGCGUGGGAAGCAAACAGGAUUAGAUACCCCGGUAGUC